rnacentral:rRNA from 1 species
UACGAAGGGGGCUAGCGUUGUUCGGAAUUACUGGGCGUAAAGCGCACGUAGGCGGAUACUUAAGUCAGGGGUGAAAUCCCGGGGCUCAACCCCGGAACUGCCUUUGAUACUGGGUAUCUCGAGUCCGGAAGAGGUGAGUGGAAUUCCGAGUGUAGAGGUGAAAUUUGUAGAUAUUCGCAAGAACACCAGUGGCGAAGGCGGCUCACUGGCCCGAUACUGACGCUGAGGUGCGAAAGCGUGGGGAGCAAACAGG